rnacentral:rRNA from 1 species
ACCAGACUCCUACGGGAGGCAGCAGUGGGGAAUAUUGCACAAUGGGGGAAACCCUGAUGCAGCGACGCCGCGUGAGCGAUGAAGUAUUUCGGUAUGUAAAGCUCUAUCAGCAGGGAAGAAAAUGACGGUACCUGACUAAGAAGCCCGGCUAACUACGUGCCAGCAGCCGCGGUAAUACGUAGGGGGCAAGCGUUAUCCGGAUUUACUGGGUGUAAAGGGAGCGUAGACGGCGAUACAAGUCUGAAGUGAAAGCCCGGGGCUCAACCCCGGGACUGCUUUGGAAACUGUGUUGCUGAAGUGCUGGAGAGGCAAGCGGAAUUCCUAGUGUAGCGGUGAAAUGCGUAGAUAUUAGGAAGAACACCAGUGGCGAAGGCGGCUUGCUGGACAGUAACUGACGUUGAGGCUCGAAAGCGUGGGGAGCAAACAGGAUUAGAUCCCCUGGUACU